GACGAACGCUGGCGGCGUGCCUAAUACAUGCAAGUAGAACGCACAGUUUAUACCGUAGCUUGCUACACCAUAGACUGUGAGUUGCGAACGGGUGAGUAACGCGUAGGUAACCUGCCUGGUAGCGGGGGAUAACUAUUGGAAACGAUAGCUAAUACCGCAUAAUAUUAAUUAUUGCAUGAUAAUUAAUUGAAAGGUGCAAUUGCACCACUACCAGAUGGACCUGCGUUGUAUUAGCUAGUAGGUCAGGUAACGGCUCACCUAGGCGACGAUACAUAGCCGACCUGAGAGGGGGAUCGGGCAAAAUGGGACUGGGACACGGCCCAGACUCCCACGGGAAGCAGCAGGAGGGAAACUUCGGCAAUGGACGAAAGUCUGACCGGGCAACGCCGCGUGAGUGAAGAAGGUUUUCGGAUCGGAAAGCUCUGUUGUAAGAGAAGAACGGGUGUGAGAGUGGAAAGUUCACGCUGUGACGGUAUCUUACCAGAAAGGGACGGCUAACUACGUG
rnacentral:rRNA from 1 species